CUUUUAUUAGAUAAGUACUUGGAGGAAUUUAAAUACAAGUAGUACAUGUUUACAUAUGUGAGAGUGACAACACAUACAUCUAUUCUACACCACUUAUCCUACUACACUAGUCAACAAGUUUGGAAGCUAGCUAUUUUGGUGAUGGAGACAAGGGAUCUCUAGAGGAGCAUCUUCUUUCUUUCUCCCUCACUCUAUUUCUCGAUUAGGGAGCAACCACAAGACUCCAAAGCUCCAGCCAUGUACCUGCAAAUUAACACAAGAAUAGGGGUUAGAAGAUGACUCACAAAUAACAAGGAAGGGAGGCACAAGCUCGAAUAGGAAAGUGGAGUAGUAGACGAAAAUAGUGCAGCUAGGAGGCCGCCAUUUAGAGCAUGAAGUCAGCCUAUUUUUUGUCACAUUCUCAACUAGCAUCAAAGAGGAACCAAGACAAGAGAGCAUAGUAGAAUGAGCCUCUACACAAGCCCAAUAUAGACAUGAGCAAGAUUCUUGUUUUUCCAUCGAUCAAGGCUGAGGAAACAGCCAAGAAAGACAACCAUGCAUACACCAAAAUAGUAAGGAUAGCAUGAACAUCAAGCUCAAAAGUAGUGGAGCUGGCAGCCCCAAAAUAGGAGCCUUUACCUCCAAGUCUCAAGCACAAAUAGCCAAGAAUAGAGCACUAUAUAAGCAACCUCAUCUCCCUUCUCCUCCCCACAAAAUCGACACCCCAAACUCACAUAAAGUCAAGAAAUACAGCAAGGAAGGGAGGAGGAGCAAGAAGGAGAUUCUGAGGCAGGACAUCGGUCCCCAUCCGAGAGGAUUCAUAAAAGUGAGGUGGUGUCAUGAUGGUUUUAUCUCUCUCUCUCUCUUGCCUCUCCUCUAAAUAUGACCUAAUUCUCUCUCCUAUCUCACUUGCUUCCUUCUUCUUCUUCCUCUUGUGUCAACCAUUCUCUCCGUAAAAUCGCGAUUCUUCUUCUUCUUGUUCCUGCUUCUCUCCACAACAUCAUGCUUGUCUUCAUGUCUUCGCAUUCCGUUAAAAAUUCGGCUGAUGGGGUAGGAGUGAAUGGUUGUAGGUGGCACCGGUUUGAGUACGAAAAUUGUAUGUGCCGGCAAAGAGCGAUUCGCAAAAUCGUUGUCGACACAAGAAAGCAAUCAAAUGGAAUGUUGUAUUUCGUUUGCGAGAAAAAGGGCAAGGUUGGAGGCUGUGAUUAUUUUCGGUGGUGUCAUCCCAAGCCUGUGUAUUUUGAAGGCUGCAAUUACUUGGUUGGGAACAAUGGGCGUGAAGACGAAGUCGGAGGAGAAGACGAAGAUGAUUCUGAAAUAUAUCGAAAACGGGGUGAAGGUGGAAGUAAAGCGAAAGAUUGUAUUUUGGUGUUAUCGUUGUUAGUUUCGUUUGUAGCCAUUUUGGUGAGUUUCAUGAAGUAGGUUUUGACAAAUAUAUUGCAGUGUGGGGGGGAAAAUUUUGGUGAAGAAAUAUUUUAUGAGGAAGAACUGUAAUUUGAAGUGUGCGUGAUGUUGGAAAAAAAAUUUGAAGUG